UGAUGCUCCAUGCCAUGCUUAGCUCCUCAAUUUGCCGCUGGAGUGCUUGGCCCCGUAAUUGCUGCUUGCAGCUAUAUUUAGGGGCCAAGCACCGAAGGUGCGUAGGCACCUAUUGUAUCCGUUGGCGUUAUUAGGGGCCAAGCACCGAAGGUGCGUAGGCACCUAUUGAAAUCGUUGGCGUUAUUAUUAUUCUUCUUCUUCUUCUUCUUCCGCCUCAAGUCUAUAGCAGCCCAUAGAACCGAUUGCGGGAAAGUUGUAUAAUUUGGCACACUGAUAGAGGACAGUCCCAGCAUUAACUAUAGCAAAUUUGAAGUCUCUAUCUUCUACUCUCUAGCGCCACCACUUGUCCAAAAUUUCAAUAUUUUUAUGCUAAUAACUUUUGAACCGUAAGCCACAAAAUGAAAAUUCUUUUUUCCUCUGAAUCCUUGGCUCAUGCCAAGUCGAAUGAACCCCGAAAUUCAAA
ensembl:lncRNA